UGAGUCUGACGUAUAAGGAAGUAACUCAAGUCAACGCGUGACUAUUUGUUUACAUCCUGCAGUCGUCUCCCUGCGAAUGAUUCCCUUUGCAAUCAAACUGCCAUUAGAUUUUUAAAUAAAGAAAAAAAAAGAAUACUUUUCCAGCAAUACUAACACUGAUUAAAGUGUGUUGGUUGCGUUUACCUCCCGAACAAUAAUGAUCUUAGCAGCAUCCGAUGAAACAUGCUAAAGCUAAAUAGCACAACACUGGCGUCUUGCAGCCAAAGAAGCUAGCACAAAGAUGCAACCUGUCACGAAGCUGCACAAAUGAUAGGAAUUUGGACGAUGCUAAGGAAUGAACUAGGUGCUGGUCCAUCAUCAUGGCGUUGUCUGAGGUUCCUUGGGAUGAGGAAGUCCCCCUCCCCAGGCUGGGUCCGGUUCAGGCCAAGAUCACUGUAGCUCUGGUGGCAGUGCUGUGCUUUAUCAAUAGUUAUGAUGGGGAUUUUGUGUUUGACGAUUCGGAGGCAAUCAUCAACAACAAGGACUUGAAGCCAACAACACCCUUGGCUAACAUUUGGAAAAAUGACUUCUGGGGAAGCAACCUGAGCAGCAACUCCAGUCACAAAUCCUAUAGACCACUCACUGUCUUUACUUUUAGGUUGAACUACAUGUUGGCAGGCGGCCUGCAUCCCGUGGGCUUCCACGUGCUGAACAUCGCCCUCCAUGCCGUCAUUUCCGCUCUGAUGGUGGAUGUGUUCGCCCUGCUGAUUGGUGGACUGGCUUAUGAUGAAAAGACUCGCCUACUGAACCGUGCUCCUAAGACCUCCCUGCUGGCCGCGCUCUUCUUCGCUGCACAUCCCGUCCACACAGAAAGCGUGGCAGGCAUCGUAGGUCGGGCGGACCUGUUGUGUGCGCUCUUCUUCCAUCUCUCCUUCCUCACAUACUGUAAAGCUUUCAACAAAGGUGCGGACAAAGAUGGCAACUUUUCUGUGGGCUGGAUUGUCGUCAGUCUCUCGCUGUGCGCUGCCGCCAUGCUUUGUAAAGAACAAGGCAUCACCGUCUUGGGUGUAAACGCUGCUUUUGAUGUACUCCUCAUCUGUAAUGUUGACGUGUAUGAACUGAGCCAGAGGCUAGUCCUCAGGAAGACCCCUUUUAAUGCACGCGAGAUGCUGCGGACGGGCCUGCCUAUUCGAUUGGCCUUCAUGGCUCUAGGCGGCUUCUUCAUGCUCUACACCCGCUGGAGAAUCAUGGGAACUGGGCCGCCGGCGUUCACUGAAGUGGACAACCCCGCCUCGUUCGCAGAGAACAUGUUUCUUAGAGUGGUCAACUAUAAUUACUACUACGCCCUGAAUGGCUGGCUGCUGCUGUGUCCCUGGUGGCUGUGUUUUGAUUGGUCCAUGGGCUGCGUGCCGCUCAUUAAGUCAACCACCGAUUGGAGGGUGGUGUGGCCGCUCCUGCUCUGGUGCAUCCUGAUAGGCUUGGUAGGCCAAGCCUUGUGCUCACCAGACAGCCAGCAGAGAAGAACCCUAAGUCUGGCCCUGGUGCUGCUGGUGGUCCCAUUUCUGCCGGCCUGCAACAUCUUUUUCCGGGUGGGCUUUGUCAUUGCCGAGCGUGUGCUCUACCUGCCUUCAUCCGGCUACUGCCUCCUUUUGGCCUGCGCCCUGGCACGCUGCUGCCACCGCUGGGUGAAGUACAAGAAGAUAUUUUACUUUUACAUCUUAGCCUUGAUGGUCACAUUUGUGGCUCGCUGUGCUCACCGCAGUCACCAGUGGCGGUCGGAGCAAAGCCUUUUCACCAGCGCACUGAACGUGUGCCCACUCAAUGCCAAGGUCCAUUACAACGUCGGAAAGAGUUUGGCUGACAGAGGCAACACCACAACUGCUAUUACCUAUUACAGAGAGGCCGUCAGGCUGCAUCCCACCUACGUGCACGCCAUGAACAACUUGGGUAACAUCCUCAAGGAGAGGAACGAGCUGAUCGAGGCCGAGCAGCUCCUAUCCAAAGCUGUUUUAAUCCAACCGGAUUUCGCUGCCGCAUGGAUGAAUCUGGGUAUCGUGCAAAACAGUUUGAGCAAGUUUGAGCAAGCGGAGAGGAGCUACUGGAACGCCAUCCACUUCCGGAAGAAGUAUCCGGACUGCUACUACAACUUGGGUCGCUUGUACGCUGACCAGCAAAGACACGUGGAGGCUCUGAACGCAUGGAGGAACGCGACAGUACUAAAACCUGAUCAUAGCUUGGCGUGGAACAACAUGGUCAUUCUACUGGACAACAUUGGUAACUUGGGCCAAGCGGAGAUGAUUGGACGAGAAGCUUUGAGGCUUCUCCCAAACGACCACACCAUCAUGUUUUCACUGGCCAACGUACUGGGAAAGCAAGAAAAGUACAAGGAAUCAGAGGGCUUCUUCCUCAACGCUCUCCAAAUCAACCCAAAUGCAGCUGGCUGCCAUGGCAAUUUAGCUGUCCUUUACCAUCGCUGGGGCAAGCUGGAACUGGCACAGAAACACUACGAGUUGUCUCUUAAGUUGGACCCAAAGGCCCCGGGCACACGAGACAACUACAACAUGCUCCGACGCAAACUGGACCAGCGCAAACGCCACACGCCCUGAGGUUUGCCAUUGCCAAAAUACACCAGGUCAAGUGUGAUUUAAAAACAGCACCAACAACAGUUUGUGAUUUACUGAUUUCCUGAUGGAAAACGGUGGCCCAGCAGGACAUUAUAAGACACCACCUUAUAAAGAGAAGCUCGGAGCAGAUCAAGGCGGAUACAGUGACACUUAAAACGGGCAGUGAACAGAUGCACUCCAAAAUUGGACAAAGACGACUGGAGGACAUUAACUAAUCACAGGUGUGACAUGUCCACUUCACGAACACGUGUUUGGGUUCACGUCUGGGGACUACUUAGCCUGUAGUGAAACGUCUUCAUAGGCCAAAUCUGUUCAGAUGAACAAGACAAAGAAAACUAGUUAAUUAUGAAUCGAUAAAAAAUUAAAUGUUUGUUGGGACAAUAAGAGUCACAAGUUUAGAUAAUUUUGCAGCUUUGGUAAAUUUAAUAAAUUUAAGGAUAUAGCAUUUCAAAGUCAGUCACGUGGUUAUAAAUAGAACUUAAUUGGUUCAGUUUUAAUCAUGUGGAUUUCUUUACAUUUUGCAAUAUUGAUUUUGGGGUGUUUCUGAUAAAUUGCAAUGUUUUAAAAUAAUUUAAUAAAUUUAAGAAUAUAGCAUUUCAAAGUCAUGGUUAUAUAUAGAACUCAAUUGGUUCAGUUUUAAUCAUGUGGAUUUCUUUACAUUUUGCAAUACUGAUUUUGGGGUGCUUCUGAUCAAUUGCAAUGUUUUUCUUCUUGCUCACAUCUUUGAUAACGCUAAGUCGGUUUCCAAGCAUGUUUGAGAACUUUAUGCACAUUUCAAUCACUGUAAGACCAAACAAAUUUUCAAGAAAAAUCAUUGGCCUUUUUUACUAAAAUAAAGUACAAAUGAUGGAAAUUUUAA